GCGGGGAUUUCGACAGUGUGUAUUAGGAAGUAUAUCUAUGUGGUGUAUGGAAUAUGCGUUUGCCUACCAUGCCAGGCAGUGUGACAAGGGAUAUCCCAGCGGAUGUAAUAUUCCUACAGCAGAAAUGUUUCACAACCUCGAUUGCAGGGAGCUGAAGACGUGACAUAUUCAGACAGAGACCAUAAUACAUAGACUGUUAUAUGGUCUCUGAUUCAGGUGUGAAGAAUCAAGAACAAAUUAAAUGACAGGAGUUUUGCAACAGUGAACAUUGUGAAGUGGAAGAUAAGACAUUUGAAAGGUACCUGGAUUUCACAAUCUGACACCAGCUACAUUUAAGAAGAUCUUGCUCACACAA